rnacentral:rRNA from 1 species
AUGGAAAGUGUUCAAUUAGAACAUGAAAACGUGACUCAAUUGGUCUUAGUUAGUCUUCGGGACGGAGUGGAAGAAGGGCGGAGACUCUCGAACGAGGAAAAGGAUCCCUUCGAAAGAAUUGACCGAGGAGCCGUAUGA